rnacentral:ncRNA from 1 species
CCUCCAAGGAGCGUUGCAGCACGGCCUAGCGCCGUGUCAGGCUUGGAUAUCUCUACAACGGCGCUCAC